rnacentral:lncRNA from 1 species
UAAUAAGAACAACUAGAGGCGUGGACACCAGCAGCAGCCCCUCCGGGCACGCCGAGCGGUAUCUGAAUCCUCACAGCAGAGGCGCCAGGGUGGGGUCAUAAAUGCCAUGGUUAUGAGCCCCAGAAGAUAGAGCAGAAGUGAACAACAGAGAGGGCCUCUCUGAGACUCCUCAAUUGAAGUUGAAGACCACUGGGAAAGUGAAGAAAAUCUCUUCAAUAAAAGCACACUGGAGCAUCGUGGUUGGUAAGUUGAACACCACCAAAGUUCAGAGACCAGCUCUAGAAAGGUAACUGGGCUAAGAAGACAACCAAUAUUUUGGCCCUGGCCCUCCAAGGUCAACAAAGACCCAGGACAUGAAGGAAUCUUUUCUAUAUUUUUUGGUAAGUCACUCAACCUCCUGAGCAAGGAGAUUGUUGGAUACCAAAGCAAUAAUUGCAGUUUGCCACAGGAAUG